rnacentral:rRNA from 1 species
GACGAAGGGGGCUAGCGUUGUUCGGAAUUACUGGGCGUAAAGCGCGUGUAGGCGGUUGCCCAAGUCGGGUGUGAAAGCCUUGAGCUCAACUCAAGAAAUGCACUCGGUACUGGGUGACUAGAGGACCGGAGAGGAUAGUGGAAUUCCCAGUGUAGUGGUGAAAUACGUAGAGAUUGGGAAGAACACCAGUGGCGAAGGCGGCUAUCUGGACGGUUUCUGACGCUAAGACGCGAAGGCGUGGGGAGCAAACAGG